ensembl:lncRNA
GACAGCACUCUGCUGCUGUGGUUGAUUUUUAAACUGAUGGUUCAGAUAUUCUCUACUCAUGUAGGCAAAAAGGAGCUGCUGGCAAGUGAGAAAAUACAGGAGACAAAACUCAGACAUCAAGUCGUUCCUAGGUCUGGAAACAUCUGAUGCACAAAUCUAAAUUUAAAGACAAAUUAAAUCUACUGAGAAAGAUGGAGCAGAAGAAAUUGAAAAAAUAGUGGAGUAGAUUUACAGAUAACAAGGAAAAGGAUCAUUUUCAUAUAGAUCUUAACAUGUUAAUGAAGUGAGAAAAAGACUACUUUACCAUAUCUACCUGAGAAGGAAAUUCUGGAUCAGUGGUAGAAAUUAUUAUUAUUAUUAUUAUUAUUUCUGAUAUGUACUGAAGAUAUUUCACAAACCUACAUGAAAAAAGAUACAAUGGAUGUUUGAAGAAAUCAAAGGCACUCAACGAAAUUCUGAGAGAAGGACAUACCCAAGUCCUGUGGUUCAAACACCACACACCAAAAUGCAGUGAACAGAAAGGGAAAGGUAGGAUGAGAGAUCAAAAACUCACCAAUGGAAGACAUGAGUGACCAUGAGUGUACCCACCACUCUUACUUACCUGAGAGCUUCUCAGGGCUCAUGGCUCAAGUUGGAAAAUUCAUUAAAAGCACUCCUUUCCGGCUUCUGAUGAGUCAGCGCUCCCUGAUGAAGAGCUACUUGGUCAAAAGUUUCAGCUGAGGUCAAAGGUUUUGCUGCACCUGGAUUAAUUAUUAUUGCUGCUGCAGUGAGCAGACUGUGGACUAUGCUGAACUGGUGCCUGCAUGUAUUAAUGCAACAGAUGAAACCCAAAGCCUCGUAGUUGUAGUGGACCACUUGACCUGCGCUGAUUUCUGUUAACUUCUAGAUGUGCACGGACUUUUGCUCAAAAAGGGAUGAUUGGGCCCUGGAUUUUAAAGCACAUAAUAAACAAAACAGUCUCUUGGUUUCUUUGUUCAAUACUACUGCUAUUGGAAUUAGGACUGGCAGUAUACACAGCCUCCUGAUGUCUUUGUUAUAUUGCAUUUUAAAGUAUAAUCACACUGUAAAGGCAGUUCCAAAGAGAGAUCUUCACUCCUUUGGCUGCUUCUGUUUCUCCCCUCUCUUUCUACAUGUA